CUCAUUUCCUUCUCACUUAUUUCCUUCUCACACGCAGUAUCUAUUCCACCAAAACCAAACAACGCUACCUUUCCGAUGGAGCAAGUAGACGAAGAAUCAUUCAAAUCCGUCAGCAAGAAAGCUUCCAAGAAGGAGGCUGCUAAACAAGAGAAGUUACGCCGCCGCCACGAAGCUGCGUUAGCCUCCGCCGCCGCAUCGCUCGCCAUUGGGGAGGAGGAAGAUCCAUUGGCUGUCAAUUAUGGUAAUGUGCCGCUGUAUGAGCUGCAAUCGAAGGAGGAGACGGAUCUUAGCGAGUGGACUAGAGUUGGGGACUUAAGCGAGGGGUUGAAGGAUAAGAAGGUGUUAAUAAGGGGCCGGGCGCAGACGACUCGUGCAGUGGGUAAGAAUAUGGCAUUUGUGGUGGUUAGACAGAAAGGAUUCACUGUGCAGUGCGUGGUUACUGUUCAUCCUGACUUGGUUAGCCGGCAAAUGGUGAAGUUUGUAGCCGGGCUGAGCCGUGAGUCCAUUAUCGAUGUUCAAGGCUUGGUUUCUGUCCCUUCUGUGCCUAUCAAAGGCACUACACAGCAGGUUGAAGUCCAAGUCAGGAAACUCCAUUGUAUUAGCAAAGCUAUGCCAACUCUACCCAUUAAUAUUGAGGAUGCAGCUAGAAGUGAGAAAGAAAUUGAGGAAGCUUUGCAGGCUGGAGAACAACUUGUUCGUGUUAACCAGGAUACACGUCUGAAUUAUAGAGUUCUGGACAUGCGAACACCUGCUAACCAAGGAAUUUUCCGUAUUCAGCAUGAAGUUGGCAGUAUAUUUAGGAAGUUUUUACAAUCAGAAGGCUUUGAAGAAAUCCACACUCCAAAAUUAAUAGCAGGAACCAGUGAAGGUGGUUCUGCUGUAUUUAAGCUGGACUACAAAGGGCAACCUGCAUGCUUGGCACAGUCACCUCAGCUUCACAAGCAAAUGGCCAUUUGCGGUGAUAAAGAGCGUGUUUUUGAGGUUGGUCCUGUUUUCAGAGCAGAGGACUCUUACACUCAUAGGCAUCUAUGCGAAUUUGUUGGUCUUGAUGUUGAAAUGGAGAUUAAAAAACACUAUUCUGAGGUAAUGGAUAUUGUUGAUCGAUUAUUUGUCACAAUGUUUGACCAUUUGAAUGAGAAGUGCAAGAAGGAACUUGAAGCUGUUCGGAGGCAAUAUCCUUUUGAACCUCUGAAGUACCUGCGAAAGACUCUACGGCUAAGAUUUGAAGAAGGGGUUCAAAUGCUCAAGGAAGCAGGAGUGGAAGUCGAUCCUUAUGGGGACUUGAAUACAGAGUCAGAGAAAAAAUUAGGCCAGCUAGUUUUAGAGAAGUAUGGGACUGAAUUCUACAUUCUUCAUCGCUAUCCUUUGGCUGUUAGGCCAUUCUACACCAUGCCAUGCUAUGAUGAUGCAAAAUAUAGUAAUUCGUUUGAUGUCUUUAUUCGAGGUGAGGAAAUAAUUUCCGGAGCUCAACGUGUCCAUGUACCUGAGUUGCUGGAAGAACGUGCAAAUGCAUGUGGCAUUGAUGUCAAUACAAUAACAACGUACAUUGAUUCUUUCAGGUAUGGUGCACCUCCACAUGGCGGGUUCGGAGUGGGGUUAGAGCGUGUGGUAAUGUUAUUCUGUGGUCUGAAUAACAUUCGCAAAACAUCGCUUUUCCCUCGUGACCCACUUAGGCUUGCCCCUUGAUUUGUUUAAGCACAGCAUCAUCCUUUGUUUUGCUAAGAUUAUACUAUAUCUUUUCUCCUCCUGGAAGUUUUAGGUUACAAAAGUGGAAAAAA
rnacentral:misc_RNA from 1 species